GACGAACGCUGGCGGCGUGCUUAACACAUGCAAGUCGAACGAGUGGCGAACGGGUGAGUAACACGUGGGUGACCUGCCCUGCACUUCGGGAUAAGCCUGGGAAACUGGGUCUAAUACCGGCUAGUGUGGGAUGGGCCCGCGGCCUAUCAGCUGGUUGGUGGGGUAAUGGCUACCAGGGCGCGACGGGUAGCCGGCCUGAGAGGGUGGACGGCCACAUGGGGACGGAGACACGGCCCAGACUCCUACGGGGGGCAGAGGGGGGGAAUAUUGCACAAUGUGGGGAGGCCUGAUGCAGAGAGGCCGCGUGGGGGAUAACGGCCUUAGGGUUGUAAGGUACGUUCAGCGGGGAGGCGUUACCCGCAGAGGAAGCACCGGCUAACUCCGUGCCAGCAGCCGCGGUAAUAC
rnacentral:rRNA from 1 species